AGGAUGAACGCUGGCGGCGUGCUUAACACAUGCAAGUCGAACGAUGAAAGGGAGCUUGCUCCCUGGAUUAGUGGCGAACGGGUGAGUAACACGUGAGUAACCUGCCCUUCACUUUGGGAUAACCCUCGGAAACGGGGGCUAAUACCGGAUAUGACCUUCCAGGGCAUCUUGGUGGGUGGAAAGUUUUCGGUGGGGAUGGGCUCGCGGCCUAUCAGCUUGUUGGUGGGGUAAUGGCCUACCAAGGCGACGACGGGUA
rnacentral:rRNA from 1 species